UAGGGAAUCUUCGGCAAUGGACGAAAGUCUGACCGAGCAACGCCGCGUGAGUGAAGAAGGUUUUCGGAUCGUAAAACUCUGUUGUUAGAGAAGAACAAGGACGUUAGUAACUGAACGUCCCCUGACGGUAUCUAACCAGAAAGCCACGGCUAACUACGUGCCAGCAGCCGCGGUAAUACGUAGGUGGCAAGCGUUGUCCGGAUUUAUUGGGCGUAAAGCGAGCGCAGGCGGUUUCUUAAGUCUGAUGUGAAAGCCCCCGGCUCAACCGGGGAGGGUCAUUGGAAACUGUGAGACUUGAGUGCAGAAGAGGAGAGUGGAAUUCCAUGUGUAGCGGUGAAAUGCGUAGAUAUAUGGAGGAACACCAGUGGCGAAGGCGGCUCUCUGGUCUGUAACUGCCGCUGAGGCUCGAAAGCGUGGGGAGCAAACAGG
rnacentral:rRNA from 1 species